GCGGAGCAAGCCAAACUGGCUCUUGCACUUGCGGAGCCGGAAACGGCUAGUCUCCAUUAUAGUUUUUUUUUGAAAUACUGUCUCGUAUACCUUCCCCUUCGACGACAAUGGCUGUUUCUUCGCUUCAGGAAAUAAAUGGUGGUGGAUCGAUGCAGUUCCAGGACAAUAAUAAGACUGAUAUGCAUGUUGUAAACGGUAUCUUACCUCAAGUAUCAAACACAAUCCAGUGAAAAUGGAGUUUGUAACUUCUAUUUCUUUAGCUAUGAUACUCUCCAAAAUGAUAUGUGCUUGAAAGUCUAAAGUGAAUCAUAUCAUACCGGUUUUUGCCUAUUUUGACAUGUAAUCCCACUAAGAUUGUUGAGUACUCUAUAAUUUCAUUUAGUGUGUAUGCUUUCUCUAUUUGGACAUAUAUGCAUAUACUUAUGAGUGCUC